UACGUAGGUGGCGAGCGUUGUCCGGAUUUAUUGGGUUUAAAGGGUGCGUAGGCGGUCCUAUAAGUCAGUGGUGAAAUAUCGCAGCUCAACUGUGAGGGUGCCAUUGAUACUGUAGGACUUGAGUGAAUUUGAGGUAGGCGGAAUUGACGGUGUAGCGGUGAAAUGCUUAGAUAUCGUCAAGAACACCGAUAGUGAAGACAGCUUACUAAGCUUCAACUGACGCUGAGGCACGAAAGUGUGGGGAUCAAACAGG
rnacentral:rRNA from 1 species